UCCACACGAAACAACUUGGAGAGAGAAUAGGCGAGAGUUGAAUGGCAGAGAUACCAGAAAGAAAGAAAAGAAGAAUGGGAGACAGGAGAGGAAAGGAUACCAAGAGCCCGACUACAUCAACAAAGUGGCCGCUCAUUAAAUCCAAACAAAAUCUGCAGAUUACUCGCCUUAAAGAUACGGAUCUUUUUACUGUGCAAAAUUUCUUCGCAUCUGCUGAAUCGAAGGCAUUUAUUAAAGCUGCAGAGUCUAUUGGAUUUGUCCGCCAAGGGAGUCUUGGUCCAACAAAAGGUGAAGCUUAUAGAGAUAAUGAUCGAAUCUCUGUGAAUGAUCCUGUUCUUGCAGAAACCAUAUGGAAGUCUGGACUACACAAACUGUUUUCUGACAUUAAAAUUCGAGGCAAGGUUGCUGUUGGCUUGAAUUCAAAUAUUAGGUUCUACAGGUACAAGGUUGGUCAGCGCUUCGGACGACAUAUUGAUGAAAGUGUUGAUCUUGGAGAGGGAAAGCGCACCCAUUAUACCUUGUUAAUAUAUUUAAGUGGUGGUUUUAAACUUAAAGCAAAAAAUGACACGAGUAGCCCCAAGGAUUCUUCUUCAGAGCCUCUAGUUGGAGGAGAGACUGUCUUCUAUGGUUCAAGGAACGCGGUUGUGGCUGAGGUGGCUCCUACUGAAGGGAUGGCUCUCCUACACAUUCAUGGGGAUAAGUGUAUGUUGCAUGAAGGGCGUAAUGUAACUAAGGGUGUUAAGUAUGUUGUCCGCUCGGAUGUAGCCUUUGCCUGAUGAGUGUAGUCUCUUAGAUUUAGCAGGCUUGUUACAAGCAUCUUGAGAAUCAAUCUAGACUCUGGAGACUGUUCCCUUAUUUUGAUCUUAGAGAGAAGCAAAGCAUUUGGGACUACCUUUUCUGAUAAGUAAAGACAAAUUCCAUCCUAUCCCCCUCCAGGCCACUACAAGAAAAACCAACACAGGUCACAAGGAGUGCAAGAAGAAUAGUUGAGGUUUAAAACUAUCUAGGAAGACAGAGAGUCAGGAAUGCAGUCUCUCAGACAAAAUUUUGGCUGGAAUUUAAAGUGAAGGUCGAGAAUGAUGACUUGCUUCCUUAAGUAGCUUCUCUUUUCCCCAUUUCUUGUAAAUAAAAUAUAGACAAUGUAUAUGUGUUUACUUGGAGAUCAUUGAAGAUAUAUACUGUACCGUGAGGCUGAAGCUGACUGAGAAUUUGGUAAACUUUGUACAGAAUCUACAGAUUCUUAUGUUGUGGGCUUUAGCAUUUAAAACUUGUGGUUCUAGAGUUCUUUUUUUUAAUGGUAGGAUGGCUGUUUGGAUGUGUAGAUCAUUUAUGAAUUAAAUUGGUUGAAAAUUUGAGGGCCAUCUGGCUGAUCUUUCAAAAUGUUGGAUGCUGAUGCCUGCUUUAGAAGAUAAAAAUUUGAUCUUAGGUUUUGAUGGGUUGGUGAUGGCAAAAGUUUAGGGGAAACUUUAUUUUUUGGAUAGGUUUUUAAAGGUGCAAGAGAAAAGGGUAGGCUUUAGGGAGAAGGUGAGAGAAGCAAACCUAAGGGAUUGCUGAAGCACUGGCAAACUUAGGCCAAACUUAAGCACACUAAAGGGAGGUUUGGAUAGUGAGUUAAAAUGAGAUGAGAUGAGAUGAAAGUUGAAUAAAAUAUUAUUAGAAUAUUAUUUUUGUUUUGGGAUUUGAAAAAGUUGAAUUGUUUAUUGUAUUUUGUGUAGGAGUUUGGAAAGGUUGUAAUGAUUAGAUGAGAUGAGUUGAUAGGUUUUCUCAAUCAAAACUACCCCUAAAGCAUCCAUGCUUUCAUUAACGCUAACUUGCAUGUUCCCAUAUCAGUUCGAUUUCUUUCAGUACAAUGAAGCAUAUAUAAAUACUUGACUCUUCCUAACCUUACUAGGAAUCCAACUUAUAAAAAAAAAAAAACUGUACUAGGAGGGAGUCCAGGGGACUAGGACUAAGACACAGUUUAGAAAGUCGAAUACGAGCCUAAUGUACGAACUUACUCACACCUGUAAAGCUUUCAAAUACUCCCUGGAAACUCUAUGCUGGAUAGUAUCACUAAAAAUAUAAAGUUAAUGCAAGAUUAUUACGAAUUUUUAUUUUUCCCUUGCUCAUAAAAAUGCAAACGACUCCCAGUUUUGCAUCUGCACAUAAUUUUAGAUUUUUAUAAAUUUAAUGCAAGAUUUGUAUGAAAGUUAUAAUAGGCUAUAGCUGGUCUUUCACUUUUGGGUUCAUCUUGGGAUUUCAUACGGUAUUUUUGUACAUUUUAUUGUUUCGAGGAUUGUUGGUAUCAGAACUUGUUGCAUGAAGGCAAAUAUGACAAUAAAGAUGGUCACUAUAAGUGUGGAACCAUUUGCUUGGGCAACUUGUUCAAAUGAUAGGCACAAUAUGGUGUGGAUGCCAAGUUUCUACUGUUGAAUUGGCCGAAAUGGCAAGCUGAAGCUACUAGUGAAUAUCUGUAUGGCUCUUUUAAUUCUAUGAAGAAUGGCUCCCAAAGAAAUAUCUUGAUUUAUUGUCCCUUCUGUUUGUUGGCAAAUAGUAAAAAUGUGAAUUUUCCAUAUGCUCUGCUCAUACAUUUCCCAUUAUUCCUAUGCAAAAAGAGCAUUUUCAUA